GAAAGAUUUGGGAAUCUUUUGGAGUGGGUGGGAUGGAAAAAUAUUGUUUUUAUUUUUUUUCUAAAGGAAAAAAGAUGAGAAUUGAGAUUUUUCCUAUUCCACCCAUGCCAAUGGCUUCCAGUCAUUUACUC
rnacentral:pre_miRNA from 1 species